rnacentral:tRNA from 1 species
GCAUCGGUGGCGUAAUGGUUAGCGUGCUCGCCUCGAGUGCGGUAGAUCGUGGGUUCGAGCCCCGGUCGGGUCA